rnacentral:pre_miRNA from 1 species
UCUUAUGGACCAACAAAGACGGUGGUUACUUGAAAUGGUAUCUACUCCUGGUGAAGAUGCUGUGAA